rnacentral:rRNA from 1 species
UCAGAGGGGGAUAACCCGGCGAAAGUCGGACUAAUACCGCAUGAAGCAGGGGCCCCGCAUGGGGAUAUUUGCUAAAGAUUCAUCGCUGAUAGAUAGGCAUGCGUUUCCAUUAGGCAGUUGGCGGGGUAACGGCCCACCAAACCGACGAUGGAUAGGGGUUCUGAGAGGAAGGUCCCCCACAUUGGUACUGAGACACGGACCAAACUCCUACGGGAGGCAGCAGUGAGGAAUAUUGGUCAAUGGGCGUAAGCCUGAACCAGCCAAGUCGCGUGAGGGAUGAAGGUUCUAUGGAUCGUAAACCUCUUUUAUAAGGGAAUAAAGUACGGGACGUGUCCCGUUUUGUAUGUACCUUAUGAAUAAGGAUCGGCUAACUCCGUGCCAGCAGCCGCGGUAAUACGGAGGAUUCGAGCGUUAUCCGGAUUUAUUGGGUUUAAAGGGUGCGUAGGCGGCCUUUUAAGUCAGCGGUGAAAGUCUGUGGCUCAACCAUAGAAUUGCCGUUGAAACUGGGGGGCUUGAGUAUGUUUGAGGCAGGCGGAAUGCGUGGUGUAGCGGUGAAAUGCUUAGAUAUCACGCAGAACCCCGAUUGCGAAGGCAGCCUGCCAAGCCAUGACUGACGAUGAUGCA